rnacentral:tmRNA from 1 species
GGGGAUGCAAGGCAUAGACAGUAGGUCUACUUGUAAAGAUGCAUGUUGAGCAUGAACGUAAUCUCAUUAAAAUUCGUUCAAAUGUUAAUUGCAAAAUUAGCUUCCAAAGUGAGAGCAACUGUUUCUCCAUACUUCGGUUUGGCAGACUUUUCUUUCGCUCGAGUUUCCGCUUCGGCGUAAGCUCGUGUCUUUCUCAUAGACUUCCGAUAUAUGGGAGUUAGGCAUAAUAUUAUCGGGAUAGGGAAGAGCAAGUCUCGGGCUUUUCUAGAAAACAAUAGAGAAUCGAUUAAAAAAUAUUUUGUUCGUUUAAUAAUUUUUUAAUCUAAAACAAAAACGCGCCACACAUGUAGAUUUCUUUGCAAAAACUUUCUGCACCGGGGUUCAAUUCCCCGCAUCUCCACUC